GUAGGGAAUCUUCCGCAAUGGGCGAAAGCCUGACGGAGCAACGCCGCGUGAGUGAUGAAGGUUUUCGGAUCGUAAAGCUCUGUUGCCAGGGAAGAACGUCCGGUAGAGUAACUGCUACCGGAGUGACGGUACCUGAGAAGAAAGCCCCGGCUAACUACGUGCCAGCAGCCGCGGUAAUACGUAGGGGGCAAGCGUUGUCCGGAAUUAUUGGGCGUAAAGCGCGCGCAGGCGGCUAUUUAAGUCUGGUGUUUAAACCUUGGGCUCAACCUGAGGUCGCACUGGAAACUGGGUGGCUGGAGUACAGAAGAGGAAAGUGGAAUUCCACGUGUAGCGGUGAAAUGCGUAGAUAUGUGGAGGAACACCAGUGGCGAAGGCGACUUUCUGGGCUGUAACUGACGCUGAGGCGCGAAAGCGUGGGGAGCAAACAGGAUUAGAAACCCCGGUAGUCC
rnacentral:rRNA from 1 species